CAAUUAAGACUUUUUGAGGUACUCAACAUCACUGUUUUACAUUCUGUUAUUACAUUCUGUACUAUGGAAACUAAAUUAGUUAUAUGAUAAUUGUCUAAUGUAACAAUUUAUUUAACAGGAACAUCAUCAUCGACAUUGGAUUGCAAAUCAAUUUCAAGUUCAUUUAGAUGCUACAGAAAACAAGUUGUCAACUAGCUGUUAUUUUUUCAUCUAGGAGAAUCUAGUAGUUAAUUAAGGUUGUCCAACAAAUGAGAAGGAAUUGCAGUUAAAAUGCUACUGAAACAGCUGAUGCAUUGACUUUUUGCCUUGAAACAUUAUGCAUUAUGUGAGGGGGAGGCAACUGGUGAUUAAUUUUGAAACCACUGAAACAAGAAAUUUUCUGCAAUGGUAUUCUUGUUAGAUGUAGUUUGCUCAGACCUGCAGACUUUAGAACGUUACUUACUGUGGUUAAUUAAGAUCGACAGUGGAGAAGACAAAGAAGACCCCAUACUUGAAAUAGUUUUCUACUAUGCAUGCUUUUUAGUUGAAUUAAUUUUUUAUUUUGCACGUUUUCUGUAGUUUGUUUUAUUAAAUUAAUUUUUGAUUGUA